ensembl:lncRNA
GUGGUUAUUGUGGUGUUUGCGGGGGUGGGGUGGGGGGGUGGGGGGGGAGUAUGAGUUGUUUGCUUGCUGGUUAUCCCGGGCUCUGGUUGGGGCUCUGGUUGCCAAAAGGCCUCUCUCAGCUGUUGUGAGUUUGCAGGCAGGAUCUGGGAGAUCUGAUUCAGCUCUCUGCUCCCCAGGAUGGAGACAAGGAUUGGAAGAAACAGCCCUUUAACGGCGGCAUUCCUGGUCAGAACUAGUUAUUAGUACUCGCGUCCGGACUUCUGAAGUUAAAAUGGAUAGUCUGAAAGCCGGAGCAACUGCGAGUGAAUUCUAGGACCUGGGAAGUGAAGACGGGAAGAAGCCAGAGGCCAUCCUUGCCUCAUACAAUUCGUUGACAUCCUGAUGACAGUUCCAAAAUGGAUGAGGAGUCGUUUCCUUACUGAGGAGAUAUCUUUGGGAUGGGUAAGUGAGGGGCCUGCAGUCACCCCAGAGGUAGAGGGGUUUGGGGGGCGGGUUGAGAGCCAAGAGUCAACUUAAGUCCAGGUUGAAGGUUUGCCCACACUCCACACUUUCAGCAAAACUGAGUGCUUUUUGUUGCCGAGGGUUUUCACCUUUCCGUAGGUACUAAAAUGUACCUUUGCAAGGAGAAAUAGUUAGGAUUUGCUUCCAAGUAACCCAUGAUUGAAGGGUGGGGUCAAAACAGGAGAAUUAGACACAAAAUAGCAACUUUGGAACUGGAAAUUGGGGAAGGUAAGAGAUGAGUUCCCGUGGUAUUGCGCUUCUCUGUGUGUAAUCUUACAUAAUGAAACAAAACUCUGGACUGACGAUCUUUAUGAGACCUAAAUUACCUCUUCUAUGUGCUUUCUUAACAUGAUUCAACUUCUGGGGACUAAGUCAGCACCUCAGAUCUUCUUUCCUUUUUUCCCUAUUUUAUUAAUUCUCUUUAAACACACACACACACACACACACACACACACACACACACACACACCCCAAAACCUUGCCAGAAAUGGAGACUUAUGUCCCUUCAAAAGAAAAUUCUAAGUGACACUGUUUUCCAAGUCUACUCAGCAGGGCACCAAACAGGGUGUACUCUGAACUCUCUGCUGGAAACAUUUGCCAGAAGCCACUGCACCUUAGGGCAAAGUAUUCUUCAGCUUUAAUGCGAUUAAUUGAUUGACUAAAAUUCCAAGACUCAUUAACUUCCCAGUUAACGAGAAUGAAGAUGAUGGCUGCAGACAGAAAAUGCAUGAGUAAGUAUUCAAAGAAUAAUAAAAUAACACUAAAUAUUGACCUAACUUCUGAGGAAGAAAGAAAUAAAACUGACAAGGCCAACCACAGCCAACACCAAAACAAAUUACAGAUGGGCUAAAAAGUAAAUCAAAAAUAAUUAGGAGGCACUAGAUAUUAAAUGUUAUUUAAUCCUGCAUGAAACUCAAAGGCAGGAACAGAAAGCACACAACGUUUACAUUUUGUGAUUCUUUAAAACUUAGAUAUUCUGCCAAAAGAGGAACGAAAAAGGUAACCAAAAGGAAAAUGGUAAAUGGACAGGGCUUAAGAAUGGGAAAACCAAUUAACUUGAAGAGUUUUUAGUACGUCAUUGGAAAGAUGGCGCCCAAACAGGCUUUUCAAAGAAAAUGUAAAUUUACUGUAAGGGAGCAGGAAACCUAAGAAGAAUAUGUUCAUCUCUAUAAGAAUGUGUUCAGGAAGAUCACUGCAAUUUUGUGUAUGAAGUAACAGUGAGAAAAAAAAUGGGAAUAAAUCUAAGAAUACAGAUUUACAAAACCUUUGCAAAGAAAUGACCGAACUCUUAAAACCCAUGAAUAAGUGGGCAUGUGAUACUAAUAGGAAGAUUAAAUAUAAAAAGAUACAGUCUCUUAGCAGUAACAAAAUGUAACAUUAAUCACAUCUACCCACAUUACACAAGUCCUGAAGGUUAGAAUAGAGAAUAGCCCAGGCAGUUGCAGUGAAAGAAUAGUUCAAAGAGCCAUGAUUCAGGGACAUAGUAUCCUUUCUGUAUCUCUUCCACAGAGGAAGAAACAGUGCCACUAGGAUCACAGAUGGGACGGGCCCAGGAAGCACAGUUUAUCCAGUGACUUCCUGUGAGUCAGGAACAGGUGUUUUCAUUGCUAACAGACACGCAGAGGGCACCAGGUUAGAUUUCAAUUUGAGGCUCCACACAGUCCACCCUGAAAUCCCUACAUAAGCUACAGCUGUACAAUAUAUGGAACUUUCUCUUAUCAUCAAAUUAUUUGGAUAAAGGGACAGAGAAAGUAUAAAAGUAUACAGUAUUAUGCUGACAGAAGGAUGUGUGAGAAAUGUGUGUGAUAAUAUAUAUUCAGAAAAAUAUUUAUUAUAAUAAUGUAUUAAAUAAUGUAUUAUCCCUAAUUAUUAUUCUAAUAAUAUUUUCUAAGUAUAACCUACUCAGUCUGUAUAAUGUUACUUCUAUGCAUUUCAUGGCUGACUAUUUGGUAUUGAACAACCAAAUUUUUGCCCAUCUUCCCUAAGUAAAACUAUUUCUCUUGAUUUCAGCAUUCCUUAUCUGCCUAUAGUUCUUUUUGCAGACUUGAGGUUUGUGGUCAUUCCCUCCUGCGCUUGCCAAUUAGACAAUGCUGUUUUCUUUGUUCAGGCAGUCUUGGGGGAAACCAAGGACAAUACCAUAGCCUGUAUGUUCUUGGAGGCUCUUGGACAGUACUCUAUAACAACUCAAAAGAGGGCUUCUCAUGUCUGGUGUUGGUUUUUUAUUUUGUUUGUUGUUUGUUUGUUUUUAAGGUGGUGUGUGGCUCUUGGAGGAAGCAUUGUCAGCCUAGAUAAAAAGAUUUCACUUGAACUAUAGAUGUAUAUUUAUUUAUACAUACAAACUUAUGUGUAUAAUAGCUUUUCAGGUAAAUGGCUAAUAAAUGACCCCUUAUUACUUCUUCAGAUAUCUUUAUUAUUUUACCAUACUUUGUCUGUAUUUAUCUUCCUGCUUCCUAAUUAAAACUCUUGUUCUCAUAUCCUCAGUCAUUUCCCCACAUUUCCUCUCUAUUGUUUCCCCUCAAUCCCUUCCUCAGCAAGGGUACUUAUGGUGGUUUGCAUGUGCUUGGCCCAGGGAGUGGCACUAUUAGAAGGUGGGGCCUUGUUGGAGGAAGUGUGUCACUGUGGGGUGGGCUUGGAGACCCUCCUCCUAGUUCCUCCUAGGAUGCUGAAUCUGUUCAUCGCUUCCUUCGGGUGAAGAUGUAGAACUCAGCUCCUCCUGCACCAGGCCUGCCUGGAUGCUUUCAUGUUCCCGCCUUGAUGAUUAAGGACUGAACCUCUGAACCUGUAAGUCAGCUCCAAUUAAGUGUUGUCCUUUAUAAAACUUGUAUUGGUCAUAGUGUCUGUUCACAACACUAAGACCCUAACUAAGACAGCACCUUUUUACUUUCCUAGUUUUCUGCAGUUACACAGGUACUCACAUCUAAUGUUUUGGAACUAGAAGUCUCUGAUCAAAGAGGACAAAUAAUGCUUGUCUUUCCAUGUCUGGGCUACCUCAGUAGAUAUUAUUAUGGAUUCAGGUCCCAUCCAUGCAUUUACAAAGUUCAUAAUUUCAUUUGUCUUUAUGGCUGAAUAGUAUCCCAUGGUUUAUGUUUUCAUUCUUUUCAAUUGUUGGUUGGAAGACAUUUAUUUUGUCUCCAUUUCCUUUUAUAAAUGGAGCAAUAAAUGGGGCUGAGCAAGCAUUGAUGGAGAAGGACAUCAAGUCCUUUAGGUGUGUGUCAAGAAGGCAUAUAGGUGAGUCCUAUGGAGCACGUUUAUUUUUAGAUAUUUUGAGAAUUCUCCACAGCGAUUUUUCACAGCGGCUGCACCAGUUUGAAAAACCCACCCACCAGCAGUAAAUGAAGGACCCUCUUUCCUGUGUCUCCUCCAGCACUUGUUGUCUGUUGUUUUGUUAAUCUUUGCUAUUAUCACCGACAAUGAGAUUAAGUCUCAAAGUUCUUUUGAUCUGCAUUUCCCUAACUGCUUGGGAUGAUGAACAUUUUGAGGUAUUUCUUAGCUACUUUUUUUCUUCUUUUGUGAACUUUCUGAUCAUUUUCCAUGCCAAUUUUUUGAAUGGGUCAUUUUUGCUUUAUAUAUAUGUAUAUAUAUAUAUA